rnacentral:rRNA from 1 species
UACGAAGGGGGCUAGCGUUGUUCGGAAUCACUGGGCGUAAAGCGCACGUAGGCGGAUCUUUAAGUCAGAGGUGAAAUCCCCAAGGCUCAACCUUGGAACUGCCUUUGAUACUGGGGAUCUUGAGUCCGGGAGAGGUGAGUGGAACUGCGAGUGUAGAGGUGAAAUUCGUAGAUAUUCGCAAGAACACCAGUGGCGAAGGCGGCUCACUGGCCCGGUACUGACGCUGAGGUGGCGAAA